AGACGCACUCGUGUCAGCAGCCGCGGGUAAUACGUAGGGUGCAAGCGUUAAUCGGAAUUACUGGGCGUAAAGCGUGCGCAGGCGGUAAUGUAAGACAGUUGUGAAAUCCCCGGGCUCAACCUGGGAACUGCAUCUGUGACUGCAUUGCUGGAGUACGGCAGAGGGGGAUGGAUUCCGCGUGUAGCAAGUGAAAUGCGUAGAUAUGCGGAGGAACACCGAUGGCGAAGGCAAAUCCCCUGGGCCUGUACUGACGCUCAUGCACCGAAAGCGUGGGGAGCAAACAGGAUUAGAUACCCUGGUAGUCCACGCCCUAAACGGAUGUCAACUGGUUGUUGGGUC
rnacentral:rRNA from 1 species